GUGGGGAAUUUUGGACAAUGGGCGCAAGCCUGAUCCAGCAAUGCCGCGUGCAGGAAGAAGGCCUUCGGGUUGUAAACUGCUUUUGUACGGAACGAAAAGGCUCUGGUUAAUACCUGGGGCUCAUGACGGUACCGUAAGAAUAAGCACCGGCUAACUACGUGCCAGCAGCCGCGGUAAUACGUAGGGUGCAAGCGUUAAUCGGAAUUACUGGGCGUAAAGCGUGCGCAGGCGGUUUUGUAAGACAGACGUGAAAUCCCCGGGAGCAACCUGGGAAUGGCGUUUGUGACUGCAAAGCUGGAGUGCGGCAGAGGGGGAUGGAAUUCCGCGUGUAGCAGUGAAAUGCGUAGAUAUGCGGAGGAACACCGAUGGCGAAGGCAAUCCCCUGGGCCUGCACUGACGCUCAUGCACGAAAGCGUGGGGAGCAAACAGGAUUAGAUACCCGGGUAGUCC
rnacentral:rRNA from 1 species